GACCACAUACACCUACAAAAUGGACCAGGUCUGGAUGAAACAGGAUCCGCUGAACAUAGACCACAUACACCUACAAAAUGGAGCAGGUCUGGAUGAAACAGGAUCCGCUGAACAUAGACCACAUACACCUACAAAAUGGAGCAGGUCUGGAUGAAACAGGAUCCGCUGAACAUAGACCACAUACACCUACAAAAUGGAGCAGGUCUGGAUGAAACAGGAUCCGCUGAACAUAGACCACAUACACCUACAAAAUGGACCAGGUCUGGAUGAAACAGGAUCCGCUGAACAUAGACCACAUACACCUACAAAAUGGAGCAGGUCUGGAUGAAACAGGAUCCGCUGAACAUAGACCACAUACACCUACAAAAUGGAGCAGGUCUGGAUGAAACAGGAUCCGCUGAACAUAGACCACAUACACCUACAAAAUGGAGCAGGUCUGGAUGAAACAGGAUCCGCUGAACAUAGACCACAUACACCUACAAAAUGGAGCAGGUCUGGAUGAAACAGGAUCCGCUGAACAUAGACCACAUACACCUACAAAAUGGAGCAGGUCUGGAUGAAACAGGAUCCGCUGAACAUAGACCACAUACACCUACAAAAUGG